rnacentral:rRNA from 1 species
UACGGAGGGUGCAAGCGUUGUUCGGAUUUACUGGGCGUAAAGCGCGCGCAGGUGGGUGGACAAGUCGGAAGUGAAAUCUUGAGGCUCAACCUCGAGGCUGCUCCCGAAACUGUUCGCCUAGGGACUGGUAGAGGCUGGUAGAAUUCCCGGUGUAGCGGUGGAAUGCGUAGAGAUCGGGAAGAAUACCUGUGGCGAAGGCGGCCAGCUGGGCCAGAUCCGACACUGAGGCGCGAAAGCGUGGGGAGCAAACAGG